rnacentral:rRNA from 1 species
GGACGAACGCUGGCGGCGUGCUUAACACAUGCAAGUCGAACGCUGAAGCUUGGUGCUUGCACUGGGUGGAUGAGUGGCGAACGGGUGAGUAAUACGUGAGUAACCUGCCCUUUACUCUGGGAUAAGCCUGGGAAACUGGGUCUAAUACUGGAUAUGACAUGCCACUGCAUGGUGGUGUGUGGAAAGGGUUUUACUGGUUUUGGAUGGGCUCACGGCCUAUCAGCUUGUUGGUGGGGUAAUGGCCUACCAAGGCGACGACGGGUAGCCGGCCUGAGAGGGUGACCGGCCACACUGGGACUGAGACACGGCCCAGACUCCUACGGGAGGCAGCAGUGGGGAAUAUUGCACAAUGGGCGGAAGCCUGAUGCAGCGACGCCGCGUGAGGGAUGACGGCCUUCGGGUUGUAAACCUCUUUCAGCACGGAAGAAGCGAGAGUGACGGUACGUGCAGAAGAAGCGCCGGCUAACUACGUG